CUCUUCCGGCUUUCCCUGGAAACCCAGCCAGUGCAAAGCUUAAAUUAGUCACAACUGCACUGAGUUAAUAAUGACUGCAGCCCUUCGGUCUCCGAGGCAAAGAUUUCAUCCUGGAAAACCCUCCCUCCAGCCACAGUCAGGUGGCAUAAAACACUUAGAUUACGGAACAGCCACGACUAGCACAGUGAAAUGCAGAUUUGCUGGAGCAGAACACUGAGGAAUGAGGCAUCCGGGGAUGCCCCCCGUGACAUCUAGCAUCUCACAUGAACCGAGGGCACCCAGCCACCCUGCCCGGCUGUGUCCGCAGCAGGAGCGGGCCCUAGCGCAGGUCAGCUCGGGGUGCUUUAGGAGACAAGCUGCGGAAGGUCAUGGUUCUCCAGCGCCAGCACCGGGAACUGCAGCAGCCCGAGCGGCUCCGCAGAGCUGUCAGGUCCUCCUGCAGUGACACAAGAGACUCCGACUCAACAGGCUCCUGGGAAAUGUAGUCUGUCACCAAGGCUGCUCUGGGCCUGGAAACCGGCGCUGCAGGACCUUUGAAAUGAGCCUGACUAGAGGUGGAUGCUUGCAUGGACAGCUCUGUGAUGUGUGAAGGGCCAGUACUCAUGGAGAUCCAUCAAACACCUGGAGUUCCUACCUCCCCAAGUCCUGAGAAGACAGGACCAGCAGAGAGGAUCCUUCCUAUUAAUUUAUUUGAAUUCUCAGUGAGAUGGAGUUUUUUGGUUUCUGUCCCAAGCCAGUCUGACCAAAGGCUGCAUACAGAGGGAGAGAGUGUGGACUUCAGAUGGGGUGAAGCUCAGCAGCAGGUCUGGGCCAGCUGUGUGCUGCUGGAGAAAGCAGCCAGACUGCCCAGUGCCCCCACCAGUGCCUCUGUGUUAGUUCACUUGGAAAACCAUUAAACAUUAACCACUGCCCAGCCUGAGGAAAGCUUGGCAGUGACUGCUACAUAUUCCUACUGGCUGUGUCCUCCUCACAACAGUGCCUUGCAUCUCAUGUGCUUCACCAAAUCAUGCCCUAAAAGUACAACCCAAACAAAAGAAACAAAAAUUGCCAAAACUAACACAAAAGCCUUUAAUGAAUGUCUUCACAGAAGCUUGAGGAAUUGUCUGACCUGUAUACAUAGGUCACUUUAAACUCACUACUCAGUUAAUGAAAAAAUACCAUGCAUAUAAUGAAAAGAUGCAUUUUCUCCAAUAUUACAAGGCUUUAGCUCUCUUAUCACUUUACCCCUUUAUAGGAAGAGAAAUACUUUAAUGGAGAAAUAAAACCAGGAAAUAAACAUAUAAAGAGCUGUGAUAGCUAAACACAGAAGUGUAGAAAUAUCACAGUUAACAGUGAUUUAUCUGUUUGUUCCAGACAGUUUGCAAAAUGGAGAACACCUAAUUUUUACAGCUGACAUGUGUGAGCUUGUUCUUCUGCACCUACAACCAACAUGUAGCAUCCCAAGCCUCUUGCCCUUUCACUGGGCACCCUGAGAAGAGCCUGGCUCCAUCCUCUUUGCACCCUCCCUUCAGGUGUUCAUAGACACUGAGAAGAUCCCCUGAGCCUUCUCUUCUCCAGACUGAGCUGUCCCAGCUGUCUCAGCCUCUCCUCAAAUGACAGAUGCUCCAACCCCUUUUUGGCACUUCACUCUUGGCAGAGGAUCACCUCCCUCAAUCUGCUGGCAGCACUUUCCCUGAUGCAGCCCAGGGUGCUCAAGGUUCAUCUCUGACCAACCUGGUGUCCACCAAGACCCCAGAUCUGCAAAGUUCCCGUCCACCCAGGUGCCCCCUCAGCCUGUACUGGUGUAUGGUGUUGUUCCUACCCAGUGGCAGAACUUGGCGCUUCCCUUUGCCAAACUUCGUUAAGUCCUUUAUUUUUGUUUGUUUGUUUGUUUAUUGUCAGGAAAAGCUGGACCAGGGGAUCCUUGGGGUCCCUUCUGAGCCAUUAUUCUCUGUUUUUGAGCUAAGUCCCUCUUUGCCCAUUUUCCAGCUGGCUGAGGUCCCCCUGAGCGGCAGCACACUCAUCUGGUCUGUCAGCAGCUCCUCCUGGUUUUCUGUUCUCUUCAAAGCUGCUGAGGGCGUGUGGGGGUAGAUGCUGACAGCACUUCCUAGGGGCUUUUUAUACUUAAUGUAUACUGUAAGUA